rnacentral:lncRNA from 1 species
CACCCUCUCCUUCAUCCUCACUUGUUUCAUUCUGCACCUUAGAACACUCAUAUUUGCGUCCACUGUGUGUGAAUAAUUUCCUAUAUCAUUAAAUUAACAAUUUGCAUCAAUUUUAUAAAUAAUUAGGUUAUUAUAUCUUACAAUAUUAUCUCCCUGUUUUUUCAUAUAUUUUAUCUCAUAUUCAACAUUUAAUUUUUGUCACAUAAUUAAAAAUUAGGUACAUACCAAUAUAUUAUUUAAUUUAAAAAAAAAAACCUUAUAAUAUAUAAUUAAAUUCUAGAAGGGGAAUUAAAUUUUUUUUUUGGUUGGUUAAUCGAAUUAAUACAAAAGUGAAUAAUUAAAUCUUAUAUAUAAAAGAAAGAAACGCUAGGGCAACCCUAAGGAACCCUAAUGUCAUUUUUGUAAUUUCAUUUUUAUUAUUUUCAAUUUUUAUCAAUUUUUUAUCUCUUAAAUAUUACUUUAAAUGUUAUUUUUGAUUUUUAUCAAAUUUAUAUCUCCUAAAUAUUAUUUUAGAAAUUUAUCAUAUUUUUAUCUCCUAUAUAUUAUUUUCGAUUUUUAUCAAUUUUUUAUCUUCAAAAUAUUAUUUUCGAUUUUUAUCAAAUUUUUAUCUCCAAAAUAUUAUUUUAAAUAUUAUUUUCAAUUUUUAUCAGAUUUUUAUCUCCUAAAUAUUAUUUUCGAUUUCUAUCAAUUUUUUAUCCUAGAACCAGGCCUGCUCUCCUAUUUUCAGCCAUAAGUAUCUCUAAUGCACAUUCAAUUAAAUCUCCUAAAUAUUAUUUUCUCUCCUAAUUUUCAGCCAUAAACAUCUCAACACUACAUAUUAUUCUUUGAUGAUAAAAUACUAAUUAAUAUAUUUCCAAAGUUGGACGAUCCAAAGACUUCCCUUAAGACUCUCAACACUUUCAACUUCUCUCUUCCACUUCAACACAUUUGUGUUUUCUCUUCUUAUUUAUAUCCCACCUCUCAACUUCUCCACCCCAGUUUUAUCUCUCCCCGUUUCUACCAAAUGUUUGUGGAUUCAUAAAAGGUUAGUUAUUUUGCAAUUUUUUUUCUCUUCAUAAGCUAUUGGAAGUGGGCCUUCAAGACUUAUUGUGCAAUAUUUAAUUUAUUGUUUAUAUUUACCUUUAUUUCUUAAUUUUCCAAUUGUUAAUAUCCAUAUAUAAAAGAAAGAAACGCUGAGCAACCCUAAAAAACCCUAAUGAUAUUUCUGUAAUUAUUUAUUUUUAAUAUUUUUAUCUACUAAUUUAUAACUAUAAUUUUUAACGAUUAUCAAAAUUGAAACUAAUCGUGAAGAAUCUUACCCUAAAGGUACAUCUAUUUAUUUUUAAUAUUUUUUCUUUACUAAUUUUCUAACUAAUUUUUUCUCUACUUAUUAUUCUUAAUCUAUAUAUUUGGAUUAUAUAUAUAUAUAUAUAUAUAUAUAUAUAUAUAUAUAUAUAUAUAUAUAUAUAUAUAUAUAUAUAUAUAUAUAUAUAUAUAUAUAUAUAUAUAUAUAUAUAUAUAUAUAUAUAUAUAUAUAUAUAUAUAUAUAUAUAUAUAUAUAUAUAUAUAUAUAUAUAUAUAUAUAUAUAGAUAUAUAUAUAUAUAUAUAUAUAUAUAUAUAUAUGCAGCUGCAGGUAUAUAUGAAAAAUUAUCGCAGCAUAAUUGAGUCAAAGGUUUAUUUGUUAGUUUUUUAGGUUUAACUAUACAUUAUUUUGUCUUUUGUUGACCACAUUUACUGAGAUGAAGGGUUUUAAUUUGUUUCUAAGUUUUUUGUCAAUCCUCAAUAAUAAUUACUUUUAAGCUCAACAUGAAAGACAUAAUUGAUGAUUUUGUUCUUGGUUCAAUUUUUUAAUCUACUGGUAUUAGUUGAUUCAAUUUAUUUGGAAAAUUAUUCAACAGUAAAGUUAUUUGUUUUUUUUGUUUUUUUUUGUGUGUAAUAUAAUUAGUAAUGUUCCACUGAUGAAGUAUUCAUGAAUGAUUAUAACAGAAUUUUAAUCAUACGAUACAUCAAACGUUUGUUUAUGUUCUUACAACAUCAAAACAAUGCAAUUUGUUGCCCGUGCAUCGCACGGGGUACAAUUACUAGUUGAAUAAAUAAAAAAAAAAAAAAGUAGUACCUUCAUCCCUAAAGCUUUGGGAUCUGGCUUGUGCAGCAGGGAGUUGUACCUUAACCCUAGAGAAACAUGGAUUUGUUGUCCUGCAAAUUGAAAACGCACUCGAAGCACCCAUAGUAGAUAAUCCGUUCAUAUAUGCUUUUGCUUAAAAGCCCUUUAGUUUUGAAAAUAUAACAACCUAGUCCUCUCAAUAUUGCUUAUUUGCUUUUUUUUUUUGUUUUAACUCUCGGUGAAUUUCUUCUACUCUUGCUUGUUUCACAAAAU